rnacentral:rRNA from 1 species
CGCGUAGGCGGUUUGUUAAGUCGGAUGUGAAAGCCCCGGGCUCAACCUGGGAAUUGCAUACGAUACUGGCCGACUGGAGUACGAGAGAGGGAGGUAGAAUUCCACGUGUAGCGGUGAAAUGCGUAGAUAUGUGGAGGAAUACCGGUGGCGAAGGCGGCCUCCUGGCUCGAUACUGACGCUGAGGUGCGAAAGCGUGGGGAGCAAACA